rnacentral:lncRNA from 1 species
AUACACACAUCCCCCUUAAUCUUCCUAGCAACUUUAGGCCUACGUCUCCAGGUUACAAAUGAGAAAACAAGCCCAGGGAGGUUCAGUAACUUGCUCAAGGUUGCACAGCUUCUAGUAGGAGGUGAAAUUGAGAUUUGAAGUUACAUCUGUCCCAUCCCAAAGGCUGCGCUCCCAGUACUGCCUCCUGGCACUGCACUGCUCUGUGAGGUAAGAGGCCGCUCUUCACAUCUCACUUUAGUAUCUGUGAUGUUGGUGGAAGGCGAACAAGCCUGCAUCUCAGCCGCACUCCCAGGGAGUGGCAGGCUCACGCUGCCUAGGGCUCCGGGUGUUUGCUCUUGCCAGCAGCUCCUCCAGGCCUGCUUGAUGCUCCAAGCAGGUGGUCAGGGAGCCUCCCCUUCCCCCACCAGGGAAGCAGCUGCUGUCCUAGCUCAGUGAUUUCAGCAGGCCUCCCAAAGAAAGAGUUAUUGCAGCCCUGGCCUUUACUCCUCCCUCUUCCAGUGAUUACAACUCCGGCUCUGGCGGGAGGUCUAGAUUGCAAGAUAAGGAAGGAGCUGCGCCAGUUUCUGGUUGCUUCUUGGCCCCGAGCUCUCCUGUUUUUACAGCAGCCACAGGUCCUACAUCCUUCCUGGAGACUCGAGGGUGGAUUACAAGCAAACACGUCUUCCCACUUCCCGAGCCCUGGCAUGGCGGCUGUCUGGGUUCGCUAUGCUCACAGACCCGCUUUGCUGGGCGAGGGCUUCCAUAUGGCCCCCAUUAAAAGGGGUUGGUUUUCGAGGCGCUCCUGGAAAUGUGUUGCAGGUCUACACGCUACAUCUGGUACCCAUUUGGCUGAGAAGGGGGCAGAAACAGGGUGGUUAAUUGAAUGCUUGGCACAGGGCUACAAGAAGGAAACUGAGGAGAAAGACAAGAACUGGGGGAGUUUGGAGAACAUGGUAAGUCAGAGCCUCUGCACAGUGCCGGAACGUCACAACCUCCUUCCCUCCACGUGGUUUCUGUCCAGAAAUAGAGCCUCGAGAAGGCCACGGGAAGGACCUUGGUGA